rnacentral:tRNA from 1 species
GCGGGAAUCGAACCCACACCCUUCUGCUUACCGGGCAGGUGCCUUGUCCACUCGGC